rnacentral:rRNA from 1 species
GCAUAUCAAUAAGCGGAGGAAAAGAAACCAACAGGGAUUGCCUUAGUAGCGGCGAGUGAAGCGGCAAAAGCUCAAAUUUGAAAUCUGGCUCUUUCAGAGUCCGAGUUGUAAUUUGAAGAAGGUAUCUUUGGGUCUGGCUCUUGUCUAUGUUUCUUGGAACAGAACGUCACAGAGGGUGAGAAUCCCGUGCGAUGAGAUGAUCCAGGCCUAUGUAAAGUUCCUUCGAAGAGUCGAGUUGUUUGGGAAUGCAGCUCUAAGUGGGUGGUAAAUUCCAUCUAAAGCUAAAUAUUGGCGAGAGACCGAUAGCGAACAAGUACAGUGAUGGAAAGAUGAAAAGAACUUUGAAAAGAGAGUGAAAAAGUACGUGAAAUUGUUGAAAGGGAAGGGCUUGAGAUCAGACUUGGUAUUUUGUAUGUUACUUCUUCGGGGGUGGCCUCUACAGUUUAUCGGGCCAGCAUCAGUUUGGGCGGUAGGAGAAUUGCGUUGGAAUGUGGCACGGCUUCGGUUGUGUGUUAUAGCCUUCGUCGAUACUGCCAGCCUAGACUGAGGACUGC